GCCCCCUUGACUUCCGGUUGAUCCUGCCGGCGGGCACCGCUAUCGGAAUGCGAUUAAGGCAUGCGAGUCGAGAGGUGCAAGACCUCGGCUGACGGCUGAGUAACACGCGGAUAAUCUGACCUGGAGUGGGGGAUAAUCUCGGGAAACUGAGGAUAAUACCCCAUAGGUGUGGUAUGCUGGAAUGCUUCCACGCUCAAAGCCCCGGCGCUCCAGGAUGAGUCUGCGGCCUAUCAGGCUGUAGUGGGUGUAACGGACCCACUAACCUACGACGGGUAGGGGCGUUGAGAGACGGAGCCCCCAGAUGGAUUCUGAGACACGAGUCCAGGCCCUACGGGGCGCAGCAGCUACGAAAACUGCACAAUGUGGGAAACCACGAUGCGGGCAUACCGAGUGCUAACGCUUUGCGUUGGCUGUUCUUUCGCCUAAAAAGCGAGAGAAGUAAGGGCCGGGUAAGACGGGUGCCAGCCGCCGCGGUAAUACCCGCGGCCCGAGUGGUGCUCAUUAUUAUUGAGCUUAAAGCGUCCGUAGCCGGCCUCGUAAAUCCUUGGGUAAAUCGGGCAGCUUAACUGUCCGAAGUCCGAGGAGACUGUGAGACUUGGGAUCGGGAGAGGUCAGAGGUACUUCUGGGGUAGGGGUAAAAUCCUGUAAUCCUGGAAGGACCACCGGUGGCGAAGGCGUCUGACUAGAACGAAUUCGACGGUGAGGGACGAAGCCCUGGGGCGCAAACGGGAUUAGAUACCCCGGUAGUCCAGGGUGUAAACGAUGCGGGCUAGGUGUCACAAUGGCUACGAGCCACUGUGGUGCCGUAGAGAAGUCGUGAAGCCUGCCGCUUGGGAAGUACGGCCGCAAGGCUGAAACUUGAAGGAAUUGGCGGGGGAGCACUACAACGGGUGGAGCCUGCGGUUUAAUUGGAGUCAACGCCGGGCACUGCCGUCGUAACCCCCUC
rnacentral:rRNA from 1 species